rnacentral:Y_RNA from 1 species
GAACUAAAUGUGUUUACAAUUAAUCACAACCAGUUACAGAUUUCUUUGUUCCUUCUCCACUCCCACUGCUUCACUUGACUAGCAUUAA